UACAGAGGUCUCAAGCGUUGUUCGGAUUCAUUGGGCGUAAAGGGUGCGUAGGCGGCGCGGUAAGUCGGGUGUGAAAUCUUGGAGCUUAACUCCGAAACUGCAUUCGAUACUGCCGUGCUUGAGGACUGGAGAGGAGACUGGAAUUUACGGUGUAGCGGUGAAAUGCGCAGAUAUCAGGAGGAACACCAAUGGCGAAGGCAGCUCGCUGGGACGGUACUGAC
rnacentral:rRNA from 1 species